rnacentral:rRNA from 1 species
GUGAGGAAUAUUGGACAAUGGGCGCAAGCCUGAUCCAGCCAUGCCGCGUGCAGGAAGACGCAUCUAUGGUGUGUAAACUGCUUUUGUGCGGGAAGAAACACUCCCUCGUGAGGGAGCUUGACGGUACCGUAAGAAUAAGGAUCGGCUAACUCCGUGCCAGCAGCCGCGGUAAUACGGAGGAUCCAAGCGUUAUCCGGAAUCAUUGGGUUUAAAGGGUCCGUAGGCGGUUUAAUAAGUCAGUGGUGAAAGCCCAUCGCUCAACGAUGGAACGGCCAUUGAUACUGUUAGACUUGAAUUACAAGGAAGUAACUAGAAUAUGUAGUGUAGCGGUGAAAUGCUUAGAUAUUACAUGGAAUACCAAUUGCGAAGGCAGGUUACUACUUGUGGAUUGACGCUGAUGGACGAAAGCGUGGGGAGCGAACAGGAUUAGAAACCCCUGUAGUCC